rnacentral:rRNA from 1 species
AUUUUAGGGGGGAACAGGUGUUUAACCUCAUGCAUAACUGCCCUUCCCCAGGGGGAAAAAGGUACUAAAAUUUACAUUUAUUCAGCAUGAGACCCUGUCACUCCCUGGUGCAAGUGUUCAAAGGAGCAAUCCGUUGGAUGCUGGACUUGCGUCGGAGUAGACAGUUGGUCGGAUAAUGGCAUACCAAGUCAGUGAUCGGUAGCCGUCCUGAGCGGGUGAUCGGCCACACUGUACAUGAUAGUCGGUCCGGACUCAUACGGGAGGCAGCAUUAGGGAAUAUAAGGCAAUGCCGGAAACCCUGACCCAGCGACGCCGCCUGAGGGAAGAAGGUUUUGGGAUUGUAAACGUCUGUUCUUGAUGAAGAGUGGAAGACGGUAACCACGGAGGAAGUCCCGAUUAACUACGUGCCAGCAGCCGCGGUAAUUAAUAGGGGGCGUGCGUUGUCCGUAAUGAUUUGGCGUAAAGGGCGCGUAGGUGGCUGUGUAAGUAAGUAGUGGAAGUCAUAUAUCUAAGGUAGGAAUACAUUGCGAAAGAAGCAGUUUGUAGUGCAGGAGAGGUCAUCGGAAUUCCCUGUGUAGCGAUGAAAUAAGUAGAGAUAUGGAGGAACACCAUGCGGAGAAGGCGGGCGACUGGAUGGCAACUGACGCUGAGGCGGAUAAGGAGUGGGGAGCAAUCAGGCAUUAGAUACCUUCGUAGUCCACACUCUAAAUGAUGAAUGCUAAAUGUAGGGGGUAUCGACCCCUUCUGUGCCCCAGU